AAACGCUGUAACGGCGUUAAGGGGUUAAACAAAUGGAGGUCAUUUAGUUACUAAAUUACCUCCUUUUGUUUAAAUAUACAUAGGGAUUAAGAAGAGAGCGCAGGUAACUUUUUUCCUUUGGUUUUUACUAUACAUAUUGGGGCUGAUGUGUACUGUGGUUGUUGCUGCCACCCAGGAGUGAUGGGAGUGAGCGCAGGACUUAUCUUUUUGUAUUGCCAUAAAUUAUUUAUUUAACCCCUUAAAACCGGAGGACGUACAAUUACGCCCUCUAAUAGGCGGCUCUAAACGCCGCCGGGCGUAAUUGUACGCCCUCCGGUUUUUUUUGUUAACUUACCCGGCGAUCGCGGUUGGGGGGACUCCCAGGGAGCCCCCCGCGGCACAUCCGUCCUCGUCGAAGCCCCCCGGCCAUGUGAGAGUGGGGUCCUAGCGAGGACCCCACAAUCACAUGGCCGGGGAUAGCUGGCUUCUGUAUUGCCGGCAGGGGGGCUGCCUGUAAUGACAGGUGGUCCCC